UGACGAGAAGACCCCGUCAAACUUUAAUUAUCAUAUAUAAAAGUGAAAAUAUAAAAUAUAAAUUAAUUUUAGUUGGGGCAACUGGGAGGGAUAAAAAUCUUUUAUUAAAUCAUUUAUAGUAAUAUUUAAAUUUAUGAUCCAAAUUAGUUAAUUUUGAACUUAGAAU
rnacentral:rRNA from 1 species